rnacentral:tRNA from 1 species
GGGCCCGUGGCUUAGCCUGGAUAGAGUACUGCGCUGCGGACGCAGGGGUCAGGGGUUCAAAUCCCUUCGGGCCCG